UACGUAGGGUGCGAGCGUUAAUCGGAAUUACUGGGCGUAAAGCGUGCGCAGGCGGCGGCUCAAGUCAGGUGUGAAAUCCCCCGGGCUUUAACCUGGGAAUUGCGCUUGAAACUAGGCUGCUUGAGUGUGGCAGAGGGGGGUGGAAUUCCACGUGUAGCAGUGAAAUGCGUAGAGAUGUGGAGGAACACCGAUGGCGAAGGCAGCCCCCUGGGUCAACACUGACGCUCAUGCACGAAAGCGUGGGGAGCAAACAGG
rnacentral:rRNA from 1 species